AUUGAACGCUAGCGGGAUGCCUUACACAUGCAAGUCGAACGAGUGGCGGACGGGUGAGUAAUGUCUGGGAACCUGCCCAGUAGCGAGGGAUAACUACUCGAAAGGGUGGCUAAUACCGCAUCCCAUCGGAGCUGCCGAUAUCGGAUUAGCUAGUUGGUGGGGUAAAGGCUCACCAAGGCAACGAUCCGUAGCUGGUUUGAGAGGACGACAAGCCAAACUGGGACUGAGACACGGCCCAGACUCCUACGGGAGGAAGCAGUGGGGAAGUUUGGACAAUGGGGGCAACCAUGAUCCAGCCAUCCCGCGUGUAUGAGAAGGCCUUCGGGUUGUAAAGUACUGUUGGCAGGGAAGCGGUAUCUGCAGAAGAAGCACCGGCUAACUACGUGCCAGCAGCCGAGGUAAUUC
rnacentral:rRNA from 1 species